GCUUGUUCUUCUUCUCUAUCAACCCUUGGUCUCUCUGUACUAGAAAAUCUAGAACUACCAACAAUCCCUUUAUUCUCGUGUUUCCCUCCACAGAUCUCUGAAAUCUCCUCUCAUCUCUUCCAAACCCUAACCUUCUCUUCAUCGUUCUCGAUACGCCAUUGUUCAUCUUCUCUUACAUUCAUUCACUUCUUCACUGAUCGAUGAUUCUAGAACCUUCCCGAACCUCCCUCUUCUUCAUGGCUCAACGCCACCCUUACCAUGCCUGAACUGCGUACCCGACCACGCAGAAACCGCCCGCACAUAGAUAACGCUAAUCCCAACCCGAUCACCCAUCCGGUGGCCGCCGUAGUGAAGAAUCGGAGACAGAAGAAGGUUUGCGCUGCCGGUGAUAUUGUGAACAACGACGAAGCCGGUGCUGUUCGUGAAGGCAGAGCCGAAGAAGAGGUAGGAGAGAAGGUUUUGGGAGAGGGAGCUAUGGAUGACAACGAUAGUGGUGGCUUCAGCGCUGAUAAGGCUCCGGGAGCUGAAGAUGAGGGCAGCACUGCUCCGCUUCCUGAGAAGGUCCAGGUUGGUGGUUCUCCGGUAUACAGAGUCCACAGAAAACUUGGGAAAGGAGGAUUUGGACAAGUUUAUGUUGGUCGCCGCAUAGGAGCUGGUUCCGGUGCUAUUGAGGUAGCCUUAAAAUUUGAGCAUAGAAGCAGCAAGGGGUGCAACUAUGCACCUCCUUACGAGUGGCAAGUGUACAAUACUUUAGGUGGUAGUCAUGGUGUUCCACGAGUUCAUUACAAGGGACGGCAAGGUGACUACUAUAUUAUGGUCAUGGAUAUGCUUGGCCCUAGUCUAUGGGAUGUGUGGAAUAAUAACUCACAAACGAUGUCAACUGAAAUGGUGGCGUGUAUUGCAAUUGAGGCUAUCUCCAUAUUAGAGAAGAUGCAUUCUAGAGGAUACGUGCAUGGUGAUGUGAAACCCGAAAACUUUUUGCUUGGGACCCCUGGAACUCCUGAUGAGAAGAAGUUGUUUUUGGUUGAUCUUGGAUUAGCAUCUCGGUGGCGUGACAAUUCAACUGGCCUUCAUGUUGACUAUGAUCAACGUCCGGAUGUAUUUAGGGGCACAGUUCGAUAUGCUAGUGUGCAUGCUCAUCUUGGUAGAACAGGUAGCAGGAGAGAUGACUUAGAAUCUCUUGCAUACACACUUGUCUUCCUUCUUCGUGGUCGGCUUCCUUGGCAAGGAUAUCAGGGAGAAAAUAAAGGAUUUCUUGUCUGCAAGAAAAAGAUGGCAACUUCUCCAGAAACUAUGUGUUGCUUUUGUCCUGAACCUUUCCGACAGUUUGUUGAAUAUGUAGUGAAUUUGAAGUUUGAUGAAGAGCCAAAUUAUGCUAAAUAUAUAUCCCUUUUUGAUGGGAUUGUGGGUCCAAAUCCUAACAUUAGGCCAAUAAAUACUGAGGGUGCUCAGAAGCUUAUAUGUCAGGUUGGACACAAGAGAGGGCGAUUGACCAUGGAAGAGGAUGAUGAUGAACAACCAAAGAAGAAGGUCCGAAUGGGAAUACCAGCAACACAAUGGAUUAGUGUUUACAAUGCUCGUCGACCAAUGAAGCAAAGGUAUCAUUACAAUGUGGCUGAUGCACGACUGGCACAACACAUUGAGAAAGGGAAUGAAGAUAGUUUAUUUAUCAGCAGUGUGGCUUCUUGUUCCAAUCUUUGGGCUCUCAUUAUGGAUGCUGGCACUGGUUUCACUGCACAAGUUUAUGAACUCUCUCCCCACUUUCUUCACAAGGAAUGGAUUAUGGAACAGUGGGAGAAGAACUAUUACAUUAGUGCCAUAGCUGGAGCUAAUAACGGAUGCUCAUUGGUUGUUAUGUCUAAAGGGACCCAGUACUCACAGCAAUCUUAUAAAGUCAGUGAUUCAUUUCCAUUUAAGUGGAUCAACAAAAAAUGGAGAGAAGGAUUUUAUGUAACUGCUAUGGCCACUGCUGGCACUAGAUGGGCAAUUGUUAUGUCCCGUGGUGCUGGGUUCUCAGACCAGGUUGUAGAACUUGAUUUUCUGUAUCCCAGUGAAGGUAUUCAUCGGAGGUGGGAUAACGGUUACCGCAUUACUUCAACUGCUGCCACAUGUGACCAAGCUGCUUUUGUUCUUAGUGUCCCAAGAAGAAAACCAACUGAUGAAACUCAAGAGACACUCCGGACAUCUGCUUUUCCUAGUACUCAUGUCAAGGACAAAUGGGCAAAGAAUCUCUAUAUUGCUUCUAUUUGUUAUGGGAGAACAGUUUCAUAAACUGUGGAUGAUUUUUGAGACUCCAGCUGACAUCAUUUUGACCUCGUGCUUGAUCCCGUUUGCCCAUACAUCUUUCAGUUGGGAAUUGAAGAUCCUGGUCUGACAAUUUUUCUGAACGCAGUUCAGUAAUCAGCGUUGAUUAUCCGAAGUCCGAAUGAUGGGCUUCUUCUGGUCACUCACUCUACAUGACUGGUUGCUAUAUUGUUUGAUUCUUUUUCUAAUGUCAAACACUGCAAGACGCACUUUUGAUUAUUUUGAGAAGUUGGUAUUGCGGAAGCUCAUCAGGGGUGAUAACUUGUAUUACUCUUCACAGGGCUUCUGUAUUACCCGUGAGUUCAAUUGAACAUAAGGUAUUUAAUUCUGAAGCUAUUAUUCAACUUAAUUGUUCAGCUGAGACUUUCACAUGGUUUGAUCUAGAUAUGCAGCACUAUGUGGAUGAGACAUUUGAUGUUCAGUUGGCCUGAUGGCACCGAGCUUUUAGUGCUCUCAAAUAAAAUCUGGCUCUUUGGAUGCUUCAUUUCUACUGCUUUGGUGGUAACUUAUAGAUUUCUUUGGAUGGUCAAGACCAUGAUAAUGAUGCUGCAACAAUCUGAAUGUCAAAACUAACUGGGAAGCUGUUCAAGGAAAAUGGUUUCCUUAGAACUAUUAACUGAUUGAUGCUGAAGCCCAGAGGUGGCCUUAACUUGUUAUCUUCUCAUCUUGUCCGAAUAGAGAAAGUGCUGUGCCUCCUAAAAGUUUCAUGUUCAAGAACUGCAUACAAGGAUUUUCUCUAUCUUCUUAGCUCUAUUGGGCAUCUGUUGUAGGAUUUUUAAACCAUUGUUGCUGUUAGCCUGUUACAACAACUUAAAUAAGGGAUGAUUAAAGCUAUCUACAGUUAUGAUUCUAAUACCGUAACAUAGUCUUUGUUUCCGAGAAACAGAAGGGAGGGGAAGGGUAAGAAGAGUGGAUCAAGAUUAUCCCAUGUUCUCGCAUGUUGUAAUUUUGUUAGUAUCUCUCUUCACAUGCAUUAAAUAUGUAGAAACAAAUCGAGUCCUUUGAAUAUUUAUGAAAAGAGAGAUAGAUUCAAACAUUGUCACUCCAAUUUACACCGAUUAUGAGAGAAAAAGUCAAAGGAAUUUAUA